rnacentral:rRNA from 1 species
AUACGGGGGGUGCAAGCGUUAAUCGGAAUUACUGGGCGUAAAGCGCGCGUAGGCGGUUUGCUCAGUCGGAUGUGAAAGCCCAGGGCUCAACCUUGGAACUGCAUACGAUACUGGCAAACUAGAGUGUGCGAGAGGAUAGUGGAAUUUCCGGUGUAGCGGUGAAAUGCGUAGAUAUCGGAAGGAACAUCAGUGGCGAAGGCGACUGUCUGGCUCAACACUGACGCUGAGGUGCGAAAGCGUGGGUAGCAAACAGGAUUAGAAACCCCAGUAGUCC